rnacentral:lncRNA from 1 species
AAUAAAUUAAAAAAAAAAAAAAGACUAGCUUGACCAAUAUGGUGAAACCCUGUCUCUACUAAAAAUACAAAAAUUAGUUGGGUGUGGUGGCACACGCCUGUAGUCCCAGCUACUGGGGAGGCUGAGGCAGGAGAAUCACUUAAACCCAGGAGAUGGAGGUUGCAGUGAGCUGAGGUCGCACCACUGCACUCUAGCCUGGGCGGCAGAACGAGACUUCAUCUCAAAAAAAGAAAAAAAAAAAAGAACAGAAUGUUGGUAGAAAUAGGAACAUCACAGGUGCUUCUGGUGAGGCCUUAGAAGAGAGUAAGGAACAUGCUAUUGGAAAGAGGAGGAAAAGUGAUCUUUGUUAUAGAGUGGUAGAGAAGUUGGCUGAACUACAUUCUAGUGUUGGGUAGAAAGUAGGAGACUUCCAGCUGGGCGUGUUGGCUCACGCCUGUAAUCCUGGCACUUUGGGAGGCCGAGGCGGGCAGAUCACGAGGUCAGGAGAUCGAGACCAUCCUGGCUAACACGGUGAAACCCCAUCUCUACUAAAAAUACAAAAAAAAAUUAGCCGGGCAUGGUGGCAGGCGCCUGUAGUCUCAGCUACUCAGGAGGCUGAGGGAGGAGAAUGGCAUGAACCCAGGAGGCGGAGCUUGCAGUGAGCCGAGAUCGCACCACUGCACUCCAGCCUGGGUGACAGAACAAGACUCCGUCUCAAAAAAAAAAAAAAAAAAGAAAGUAGAUUUCCAAACAGUGUAGAAGGUAUGGCCUGGUUUGUCUUUGCUGCUUGUAGCAAUUUAUCUCUUUUAAGAGAAAAGAGAUAAAUUGAGGAAGGAACUGUUAAGCAAAAAGGAACUGUACUUGGUAAUCUAGGAAGCCCUUAGCCUGUCCAGAUUGCUAAAUUAGCAAAUUCACUAUUGAGAAAAUGUGGAGAGAAAGUGUGAAGAGAACACCAAGGGUGUUGUUGGACAUUUUGUUGAAGACAUUAUGAAUGUGACUCGUGGAUCCAAUCAACCAUCUCAGUGGAAUUGAGGAAUAGAGAUGAGGUUAUCCAGGAAUGAUCUGUGGAUAGAGCCUCUUGUCUGAUGGCAUGGGUCCCUGUAAACUACACAGGAGACCAACAAGAUUUCUGAGAAUGUUACACCAGCAGAAAUGCUGCCAGCCUGGAUUGAAAGCCACCGUGCCUGGCCCCUUUUCUCCCUUUUGGAAGGCGCUCAGACUUUGGAGGAUAUUGGGAUGAGGUGAAUGUGUUUUGAACAUGGGACCACAGUAACCUUUGGGAGUUCCAACUGUAGUGGGUUCAAUAGUGUACCUGCAAAUUUAUGUCUGCCUGGAACGUCAGAAUGUGAUCUUAUUUGGAAAUAAGAUCUUUGCAGAUAUAGUUAGAUAUAGAAGUCAUACUGGAUUAGGAUGGGCCAUAAAUCCAAUAACUAGUGUCCCAAUAAGAAGAAAAGACACAGAGAUGUGGUGGUGGAGGUAGAGAUUGGAGUGGUGCAGCUACAAGCCAAGGAGUACCAAGAAUGCCUUUGUUUUGAGGCCCCGAUUUGUGGUACUUUGUUGCAGUGACCGUGGGACACUAACACACAGGGUGGGUAAUUAAGCUAUUAGGUCUGGAGGCAACUGGAACUUAGUCUGCUGGGGAGUCUGGUAGCUACUACUCCAUCCUCCAGUUAAGAGCCCCAGAACACAUCUGCUGAUGAACAAAGUUGGAUUUGCAGACUUGCUGCAAUGAGCGGGAGCACAUGUGUUGGGAAAGCCUAGGGCAUUGCAAUGGGAUGCUUGUAGGGAGGACGUAGAGUAGGAUUUGGGCUGUGUUAGGUGGUUUUGAAGGGGGUUCAAAAGCCAGUCUGCACUGGAUGCUAUCGGGAGCAAUUCUAUGCUUGGGUAUUUUAAUACAUUCCAUCAGAAAGCAGAGGAAUGAAAUGAGGCUCAAGCUGCAAUUGGUAUGAAACAGCAGCCACUCGUAUCACCCAGGAUAUUGGUAUUGUCUUUCCAGGGACUUUUUUCCUUUUUUUUUUUUUUUUUUUUUUUUUGAGACUGAGUCUUUCUCUGUCACCCAGGUGGAGUGCAAUGGCAUGAUCUCGGCUCACUGCAACCUCUGCCUCCCGGGUUCAAACGAUUCUCCUGCCUCAGCCUCUCACGUAGCUGGGAUUACAGGUGCCUACUACCAUGCCCAGCUAAUUUUUGUAUUUUUUUAGUAGAGAUUGAGUUUCGCCAUGUUAGCCAGGCUGGUCUUGAACUCCUGGGCUCAAGGUUAUCCAUCUGCGUCAGCCUCCCAAAGUGGUGGGAUUACAGGCGUGAGCCUCCACACUUGGCCUGUGACUUUGCUUUUUCUGUGCCAAGACAAGAUGUUGAAGUGGUCUUGUCUGAUAUUGAUGCCCUGUGAGACUGUUUAUGUUCAACGGGAGCUGUGAAUGCCAGCUCAGUUCUGGCUUCUCACAGGGUAGACAGUCACCCCGGUACCAUCCAGCUGGGCAUUUACCCUCCAACACCUGGGAGACACCAGGAGACACUUGGAGACACUGGUUGAGGGCUGCUCUUGGGACCACUAAUUCAUUCCCCUACAUUUCUGGCCU